rnacentral:siRNA from 1 species
CAGGUUCCGAUCAUGGGACAUGUG